UGAAUCCAUAGGUUAAUGAGGCGAACCGGGGGAACUGAAACAUCUAAGUACCCCGAGGAAAAGAAAUCAACCGAGAUUCCCCCAGUAGCGGCGAGCGAACGGGGAGGAGCCCAGAGCCUGAAUCAGCAUGUGUGUUAGUGGAAGCGUCUGGAAAGGCGCGCGAUACAGGGUGACAGCCCCGUACACAAAAGCGCAUGUGCUGUGAGCUCGAUGAGUAGGGCGGGACACGUGGUAUCCUGUCUGAAUAUGGGGGGACCAUCCUCCAAGGCUAAAUACUCCUGACUGACCGAUAGUGAACCAGUACCGUGAGGGAAAGGCGAAAAGAACCCCGGCGAGGGGAGUGAAAAAGAACCUGAAACCG
rnacentral:rRNA from 1 species